GACGUAGGGGGCAAGCGUUACCCGGAAUUACUGGGCGUAAAGGGGGCGUAGGCGGUAAAAGAAGUCAUCUGUGAAAACCUAUUGCUCAACGAUAGGCUAGCGGAUGAAACUGAAUUACUUGAGGGCACCAGAGGUAGACGGAAUUACCCGAGUAGGGGUGAAAUCCGCAGAUACGGGUAGGAACGCCGGUGGAGAAGUCGGUCUACUGGGGUGCACCAGACGCUGAGGCCCGAAAGCUAGGGGAGCAAACCGGAUUAGAUACCCGGGUAGUCCUAGCCGUAAACGAUGCUCACUAGGUGUAGGGAGUGAUAAACUCUCUGUGCUGAAGCGAACGCGCUAAGUGAGCCGCCUGGGGAGUACGUCCGCAAGGAUGAA
rnacentral:rRNA from 1 species